rnacentral:rRNA from 1 species
UACUCCUACGGGAGGCAGCAGUGAGGAAUCUUCCACAAUGGGCGAAAGCCUGAUGGAGCAACGCCGCGUGCAGGAUGAAGGCCUUCGGGUUGUAAACUGCUUUUAUUUGUGAAGAAUAUGACGGUAACAAAGAAUAGUCGUGAA